CCAACGACAGAUGGGGGCAUAUUCAGAAAGCUGUUUUGCAACAAUGUUUGUUUUUGCAAUUACAAAUGGUGGCGCUAGUGUUGCAGGAAUUACAUAAUUCAUCUUUAAAUUGGAAGCCUAAUUUGUAUACUUUCCAAAUUAACUGUUAGUUGGCCUUCCGUUUAAUGUACUCUGGUGUAAUAGCUUUGGGAGGCCACAAGGCAGUGAUAUAACAUGUACUUCAUUCUGAAGGAUGCGCCGAUGCGGUGCAGGUGACAGUCCAAAGUUGUGAAUCUAGUCACCAAAAAUGCUUACAUAGAUCGAUAAUCAUCAGGAAAUUUGCUGAUUAUGAAUGUGUGAAAAAGGCAUCAUUCCCAAGCCUAAUACAUUUCCCUAAAAAGAUACAUUAUGCUAAGUGUUAGGCUAUCUUAAACAUUUGUGCAUAAUUGGCUCUUGUUUGAGGUUUGCUUCUCUAAACAAACACCCACUCCUCUCUAAGUAAUGCCACAGCAUGAACUGGCACAUUAUAAGUGUGAUCAUGCAGGAACAAAAUGCUGAUGCUUUCGAAAGGCGAGCCAAGCAAUUCUCACAGCUUCCCUUACAUUUCACAAAGCCCAUGAAGACUGACAGAUUUUUGGCAAAGCCACAGGUGGUGGAAAGACAUUAUAGAAGGACAGUGUGGGAAAUCGAUGCCAAGAUUGUCUCUGCAAACUUGAAUGGUGAGAAGGUUUUGCAACCCAUUUAUGCAAGUACACACAAACACACGCACUCAUCACUUCCAAUAUCCUUCAAGACUGGUCGUGGGAAGAAAUUAGCAAUGGAUCUUUACACAUUUACACACUUACUACACACAUUCACAUACCAUAACUUCUCAGACCUUUUUAUUUAUCGCAUUCAGGGGCAGUAUUUAAAGGUAAAGGUAUGUUAAAAUAUGUUCCUUAUCCCAGAUAAUAUGCAGAGACAAUUCGUAAAUUGAUUUCCCAGCAAUGUUUAAAUGCUUAUGUCACCAGUCCUGCUUGACCUGCCCCGAGCGGGAUUCGAACCGGCGGUCCCCGGCAUGGGAGUCGGACACGCUAGCAAGGAGGCUAGAAAAGUCAUGGCAUCUAGCCUCAGUCGGUAGUACAUCUCUUAAGGUCAGGAGAGUGAGGUUUACACACUGCACAACUAUCACGCAUCAGCUAGCUACCUUUACACUUUGUAUGUUUACAUGUUCAGUAAUAAUCGCGCUACAGCGUAGCUGAGCUACAGUCUUCAUCUGUCUGUCCAAAUAUACAUGAUAAAAUGUGAAAUUGAAUAUUUGAAGGAAGGACGUCAGCUGAGGAAGUGUGAAAUACACAGUCGUGCGUCACCUCUUUCUUGGCAGAGGCCAAUUGUGGUCCAAUUAACGUGAAUAAAUGCUGAACGAAGCUGAGCUACGAUCGCAUUUUCCGGGUCUGUAAGUCCGACUUCACUAAAGUCAGACAAUUUCAGUCAAUCUAAAGUGUUGGGCUGGGUAAAAAUACAGAUUUUCCAAUAAAUUGGGAUCUUCAUUGGAACGAUCCUUUUAUGUUCCCUGUAUAAUUUACAGUAUUAGCUGAGAGAGAAUUUCUUUCAUAUGUAAGCAAAAUAGAGAUUAUACUUUAAAUAUUCCCAGCUUAAUUUGAAGUUGUAUCAGAAUCUAAUCAAAUCAAGAAAUUGUAAAUCAAAAUCAAAAUCGAAUAGAAUCUGCAAAUCUAAAAAAAACAAUUUAUAGUUUCAAAUUAUUGUCAACAUUUACAGAACUAAUGGCGUGAGUAUGGGGCGGGACCAGUGGUGUAACUACAGGCAGUGCAGGCUGUGCAGCACUGGGGCCCAAGGAGAGAUGGAGGCCCGAAAGCAGAGGCGAACUGGCCAUCGGGAGAACCGUGAAAGCUGGGCCGGCCGCAGGGGGCCGCAAUAUGCAACAGUGGGCCGCGAUAUGCAGAAGGGGACAGCAAAACACAUUUCCACAAACAACCCUCCCCCCAACAGUCGACAACUUGACAUCAAAUUUACGCCACUGGGCGACGGGACUAGCUGUUUGUUUGACCGAUGUUAGACAGGGGCAUGUUUGGGAAACUUGUCAGUCAUUAUUUUUGCAAUUCCAUUUGGGCACGUUUUUAAACAAUUAUACACUUCACCUUUUAUCAUGUCCGCCGACUACACUAUUAUUUGUAAGAUGCUCUAAAUGUCUCAUCAGGCCAAAGUAAGCUUAUUGUGUCUGUCUGCGUACACACAUAGCUAUUUUUACCACAGUUAUAUAGGACAUGGAACAUCAGUAGAGGGCAAGAAUCCUGGCUGAUGACAGCCCUGGUGUAACUGAUGAGAUCAAGAUGUUGUCCCGACGAAUCAAAGCAAGAAUAAACACACUAUAUAGGCAGCACUGUCAAUAUAUAACUGUCCUGUUAAAGAAAUUCUGGCAUCAUUUAUUCACCCUCAUGUUGUUCCAAGCCAUAUGACUUUUUUUUUGUUCCGUGGAACACAAAAGAAGGCAGAAUGUUCGCCUCAGGCACCGUUCACUUCCAUCGCUUAUGUUUUUCAUAAAAUGAAACUGAAUGGUGACUUCAUCAGUGUGCCAUGGAAGAAUGAAUGUCUUAUGUGUUUGGAACUACAUGAAGGAGACAAACAGACGGCUGUCUGAAUACAGAAAUGCUGAGGAAUCUUUGCAGAUGGAAUGUAAACCAUAUGGACCAUUUUCAUUACCUCAGCACACUUUUCACCAAAAUCGAAUGAACUAUGCACUGUAACUACGAUUUUAGCUGAAAUAAAACAAUGCCACCAAGAA